UAGGGAAUCUUCGGCAAUGGGGGGAACCCUGACCGAGCAACGCCGCGUGAGUGAAGAAGGUUUUCGGAUCGUAAAGCUCUGUUGUUAAGGAAGAACGAGUGUGAGAAUGGAAAGUUCAUGCUGUGACGGUACUUAACCAGAAAGGGACGGCUAACUACGUGCCAGCAGCCGCGGUAAUACGUAGGGGGCUAGCGUUAUCCGGAUUUACUGGGCGUAAAGGGUGCGUAGGUGGUCUUUCAAGUCGGUGGUUAAAGGCUACGGCUCAACCGUAGUUAGCCUCCGAAACUGGAAGACUUGAGUGCAGGAGAGGAAAGUGGAAUUCCCAGUGUAGCGGUGAAAUGCGUAGAUAUUGGGAGGAACACCAGUAGCGAAGGCGGCUUUCUGGACUGCAACUGACACUGAGGCACGAAAGCGUGGGUAGCAAACAGG
rnacentral:rRNA from 2 species